rnacentral:rRNA from 1 species
GGGGAGACCCCACACUACCAUCGGCGAUGCGUCGUUUCACUUCUGAGUUCGGGAAGGGAUCAGGUGGUUCCAACGCUCUAUGAUCGUCA